CUUUACUACUGCCCUUUGUUUUUUUGUGUGGAUUUGAAAAUCGUAUGAGUUCACUUGUUUUCAGCCUGAAGAAUUCCUUUAAUAUCUCAUAAAGCAGUUCAGCUAGCAAGAAAUUCUCUCCGUUUUUGCUUAUCUUGAAAUUUCUUUAUUUCACCUUCAUGUCUGACAGAUGGCCUUGCUGGAUAUAGGAUUGUGGAUUAAUAGUUUCUUCCUCUGAGCACUUUGAAUAUGUUAUCCCACUGCCUUCUGGCCUCCAUCCUUUUACAGACAGAUCAAGUGUUAAUCCUACUGGGUUCCCUUCUUUGAGGCGAGCCAUUUUAUUCUGUUCCUUUCAAGGUUUCUCCUUGUCUUUGUCUUGAACAUUUUGAUUCUGGUGUGUCUAGGUGUGUGUGUCCAGGUGUGUGUGUCCAGGUGUGUGUGUCCAGGUGUGUGUGUCUACGUGUGUGUGUCCAGGUGUGUGUGUCCAGGUGUGUGUGUCUAGGUGUGUGUGUCCAGGUGUGUGUGUCUAGGUGUGUGUGUCUAGGUGUGUGUGUCCAGGUGUGUUUGUCUAGGUGUUUGCGUCCAGGUGUGUGCAUCCAGGUGUGUACGUCUAGGUGUGUGUGUCCAGGUGUGUGUGUCUAGGUGUUUGUGUCCAGGUGUGUGUGUCUAGGUGUGUUUGUCUAGGUGUGUGCGUCCAGGUGUGUGCGUCUAGGUGUGUGUGUCCAGGUGUGUGUGUCUAGGUGUUUGUGUCCAGGUGUGUGUGUCUAGGUGUGUGUGGCCAGGUGUGUGUGUCUAGGUGUGUCUCUUUGUGUAGAGUUUUUUGGGCUCCUUGAAUGUGUAGGUUAACAUUUUUCAGCAAAUUUGGGAGCUUUUCAGCUAUUAUUUCUUGGACAUUUUUUCUGCUUGGAACUUUUUUUCUGCUUCUUUCUCUCUCACAUCUCCUCUGGUACUCUCAUUAAGGGUGUCCCACGCUUCUAUUCAUUUUUCUUAAUUAUUUUUCCCUCUCUGUUUUUCAGGUUGUAUAAUCUCUAUUGACAUAACUUCAAGUCUGCUGGUUCUUUC
rnacentral:lncRNA from 1 species